rnacentral:sRNA from 1 species
AUUUGAGAUGGAGUCUCACUGUGUUGCCCAGGCUGGAGUGCAAUGGCGCGAUCUCGGCUCACUGCAACCUCCACCUCCUGGGCUCAAGCGAUUCUCCAGCCUCAGCCUCCCAAGGAGCUGGGUUUACAGGCGCCCACCACCACACCCGGCUAAUUUUGGUAUUUUAGUAGAGACGGGGUUUUGCCAUGUUGGCCAGGCUGGUCUCGAACUCCUGGCCUCAGGUAAUCCACCCGCCUCAGCCUCCCAAAGUGCUGGGAUUACAGGCGUGAGCCACUGCCCCUGGCAUAAAACUUUAUUUCCAGAGGUGAGCAGCGGGCGGGGUUGGCCCAGAGGGUGGGCUGAUUCUGCCUCUGCCGUCCCAGCUGCAACAGCUAUGCACUUGAGCCCUGAGAUGGGAUCCAUGUCCCCUCCUGGGGUAUCCCCGUGGCCACCACACGUGGUUUUGCAUGGGACCUGGGCCAGCUGUGCACAUGGAGCGGCCUUGGGCUUCAGUGGCUGAUCCCUCCCUUCCGCAGCUGAAGUCGUUCCUCCGGGAGUGCAAGGUGGCCAACUACUGCCGGCAGGUGCAGCAGCUGCUUGGGAAGGUUCAGGAGAACUCGGCGCACAUCUGCAGCCGCCGCCAGAGGGUUUCCUUCGGCGUCUCUGACCAGCAGGCAGUGGAAGCCUGGGAGAAGCUGACCCGGGAAGAGGGGACUCCCCUGACCUUGUACUACAGCCACUGGCGCAAGCUGCGUGACCGGGAGAUCCAGCUGGAGAUCAGUGGCAAAGAGCGGCUGGAAGACCUGAACUUCCCUGAGAUCAAACGAAGGAAGGUGGCUGACAGGAAGGAUGAGGACAGGAAGCAAUUUAAAGACCUCUUUGACCUGAACAGCUCUGAAGAGGAUGACACCGAGGGAUUCUCGGAGAGAGGGAUACUGAGGCCGCUGAGCACUUGGCAUGGGGUGGAAGAGGAUGAAGAGGACGAGGAGGAGGGCGAGGAGGACAGCAGCAACUCGGAGGGUGAAUGGUCUUGGGAUGGCCACCCAGACGGAGAGGCGGGGCUGGCCCCUGGAGAGCUGCAGCGGCUGGCCCAGGGGCCGGAGGAUGAGCUGGAGGAUCUGCAGCUCUCAGAGGAGGACUGAGGCAGCCCAUCUGGGGGGCCUGUAGGGACCGCUGGGCUGGUGGCCAGUGUUUCCACCUCUCCAGCAGUCAGGCCUAGAGGCUGGCGUCUGUGCAGUUGGGGGAGGCAGUAGACACGGGGCAGGCUUUACUAUUUAUUUUUCAGCAUGAAAGACCAAACAUACCGAGGGCUGAGGUGGGCUGGCGUGGCUGCUGAAGCCCCACAGCUGUGGGCUGUUGAAGUCAGCUCCGCGGGGGAGCUGACCCUGACGUCAGCAGACCGAGACCAGUCCCAGUUCCAGGGGGAGGCCUGCAGGCCCCUGGCCCCUUCCACCACCUCUGCCCUCCGUCUGCAGACCUUGUCCAUUCGCACCAGGCUCUGCAUUCACUCCCCCAAGUCUUUGGAAAUUUGUUCCUUUCCUUUGAAAUCACAUUUUCUUUUAAAAUUUUUUGUUUUGCAUCCAAAAGCAAAAGAAAUAAAGCUGUGGGAGGCAGGGCCGUUGUAUUG